AUAGGCUUCUUCGGUUCGGUGAUGGUGGUGUCUGCCAGAGUGCUUGGAAACCUCAGGAAAACGCUAGGCGCAUCUGUCAACGGAGGUACUCAGUCGGGGUACGAGGUGAUCCGUUACAACGUGCUCCUGCAGAGAGAGGCCAA